rnacentral:rRNA from 1 species
AGUGAACGCUGGCGGUAGGCCUAACACAUGCAAGUCGAACGGCAGCACAGUAAGAGCUUGCUCUUCCGGGUGGCGAGUGGCGGACGGGUGAGGAAUACAUCGGAAUCUACUUUUUCGUGGGGGAUAACGUAGGGAAACUUACGCUAAUACCGCAUACGACCUACGGGUGAAAGCAGGGGAUCUUCGGACCUUGCGCGAUUGAAUGAGCCGAUGUCGGAUUAGCUAGUUGGCGGGGUAAAGGCCCACCAAGGCGACGAUCCGUAGCUGGUCUGAGAGGAUGAUCAGCGACACGGGAACUGAGACACGGUCCAGACUCCUACGGUAGGCAGCAGUGGGGAAUAUGGGACAAUGGGCGCAAGCCUGAUCCAGCCAGACCGCGUGGGUGAAGAAGGCGUUCGGGUUGUAAAGCCCUUUUGUUGGGAAAGAAAAGCAGCAGGUUAAGACCCCGCUGUUCUGACGGUACCCAAAGAAUAAGCACCGGCUAACUUCGUG